rnacentral:tRNA from 1 species
CUAGAAGACUGGUUUUCACAGAUGCUGUGAAAGGUUUUUGCACCACUGGGCACCGCCACGUCCAUUUCCCCGCAGUCGAGCUAACACUGCGUGUUUUCUCACUUACAGGUUUUUAUUCCUGGGAGAGGGGGCCUAAGAUCCUUUCUCUUGCCUUCGACUUUCACUCUUGUUGAGUGAGGCUGAGCUGAGCGAUCAGAGCGUGGUCCCAGGAUUUAGUUCCCCAGGGGCCGGGGGCAGUACGCGCUUGUACCCACCUCUACCUGUGAUGUGCACCUUCCAUUUAAAGUCUUUCUACAGACGCUGCGCUGGAAUACAGCAAAAUAGCCAUGCCCUCUCUGAGGCUCGAACUCAGGACCUUCAGAUUAUGAGACUGACGCGCUGCCCACUGCGCCAAGAGGGCCGCCGGAGAAAUACCCUUCUUUACACUAAAGAGAAGUGCCUACAACCCCUUCUGCCGCCCGAGUUGACUACGCGUGUCCAUCUCUCCUGGCAGAGACCCGGGAGUCCCCGCCGUGGGUCCCAGGCCGCCGGGACAACAGGAGAUUGAGGGAGCAAGUCAACGGGCUGCGGAGGCCACCAAGCCACUGGGAAGCCCUGAGAAGAGCAGGUUUUAAGAAGGAGAACGAACCGUGAUUUCAAGCAGCCACUAGAUGCCAGGCGGGACCGUGGAUCAUCACAGACAGUU